CGAGGCGGUGCUGAGCAUGCAGAAGUCAGCAGAGGCCAUAGUAGCUGCGCGUCAGGAGACAUGUAGUCGAAGGGC
rnacentral:ncRNA from 1 species